CUUAAACACCAAGCCUUCCCAAGUUCUGCAGGGAGUGUGGGCCUCACACGCUGUCCCUUCCGGAUUUGGCUUUACUUUAAGAGGAGAUUCAGACAUAGACAAGAAUGAUUACCCAGAUUUGAUUGUGGGUGCAUUUGGAACAGGAAAAGUCGCUGUUUACAGAGCAAGACCGGUUGUGACUGUAGAUGCCCAGCUUCUGCUGCACCCAAUGAUUAUCAAUCUUGAAAAUAAAACUUGCCAGGUUCCAGACUCUAUGACAUCUGCUGCCUGGUGAGUUAGUCCGGUGCUUCUCAAACUCCAAUGUGAAUUCACAUCACCUGGCCUGGGUGACAGAGCGAGACUCUGUCUC
rnacentral:sRNA from 1 species